rnacentral:lncRNA from 1 species
GUCUUAGUGCAACAACUUCCCUCACACCCCAGACUUUAAAGAGUGAGAGAGAAAGAGAGAGAGAGAUAGAGAGAGAGUGAGAGAGAGAGAGAGAGAGAAUGAGAGAGAGAGAGAGAGGCGAAAUCAGGUGACGUUGUUGCCGACGUUAGGCUCUCCUCGGUCCCUUCCUCGCUGCUUACCGGCAAUUUUCCCCAAACCCACAUCUCUAGGGGUGUUCAUCAGGUUUUGUUUUCGGGUUUCGAGUUUUUAGGGUCGGGUUGUUCGGGUUUUUGGCUUAGAAAAAGUGACCCCUAUAACCGACCCGUUAAAAGUUCGGGUUGGUCGAGUUUAGGUUACUAGUACAAGUUGUUCGGUUUUCAGGUUUAGAUGUAAAAUGAAAAUAAAUAUUUUUUUUGUUAUAAAAUAUUAUCAAAAUUCAUGUUGCUAUUAAAAAAUAUCGAUUAAAAUUCAAACAUCAUUUAACAAUAUGAUAUUAUAAUGUUCAAAAGUCUCAAAACUUAAUGUUUCAAAAACUAUAGACUCCAAACAAAAACACAUCUAUAAUACAGAAGACAAUAAAUGUUCGGGGUCUGGUUUGGGUAACUCUGGUUUGGGUUUUCCUAGUAUUCUCUAAUUCGGGUUCGGGUGGCUUUGAAUUCAGGUCAGGUUUCAUGUUUUUGGAUAAAAAUGAACAACCCUACACAUUUCGUCAUGGCAACCCUUCUCCUUCAUGCUUCAAUAUAAAUAGCGGUCAUGAUAUUCGGCUAAAUGUUCUUCUAAUAUUGUUAGUAUGUAGAUGUUUAUAACCAAUUUUGAAUAAUUAAUUUCGUUUUUUUUUUUUUUGAACGGCUAAUUUCUUUAAUCCUCUGUUGUUUGUGAAACUUGAACCUAAGACCUUCCCCUUUCCAACCUAGAUGUUUUUAAAAGCUUUGCCAAUAAACCACCACCUCAUUAGUAAUUAAUUUCGUUUUAAUAUUAACAAGUUUAAAUACAUAAAAUCACCUAUUUAUUCCCUAAAACAUGGGUUGCGAAUCUUUUGUGUUAGGAUGAGAUGCUAUAGCACGAAAUUAACACUACAAUAGGUAUGUUUGGUAUAGAGUUUUUAGGAGCUUCUAGCUUUAACCUUUUAAGAAAAAACACCUACUCAAUAAAAAGCCUUGUUUGGUUGAAGGAGCUUGAAUCUUUUGGUUGAACGCUCUUACUAGUAGCGUUUAGAAGGAGCUACAAGCUUUUAGAGAAAAAUGACUAUUUUAACCUCUAAAGAUAAUGGACUUUUAAUGCAUAAACUUUUCAAAUUUUUAGUUAUGUCCAUUUUGGUCAUUUUAUUAAAAGCUCCAGCUACUCUGCCAAACACCAAAUAUAUCUAAAAAGCUACAACUACUAGCUAACAGCUACCAGCUUCCAACCAUCAGCUACCAGAUUCCAGCCACCAACUACUUUUGCCAAACAUACCCAAUACCCUAACAAAGAGAAACAAAACAAAAAUAUGACUAUUUGUUUGGUUUGGUUUGGUUUGGUUUGGUUUGGCCCGUGAAGCUUUAUCCACAGUACAAACUUUCAAAUAGCAAGGUUACAAAAAUGGUGUAAGAAGGCUUCUCGAUUAUGGAAAAUCUACAUAAUAACGUUUAUUUAUAAAGGAAAAACAUAGUGUAUUAAGAUUGCUCUCUUCUUAUAUUUUUAUCGUAUGAGACAAUUAAUUCUAGAUUUUUUUUAACGACGAAAGAUUCUAUAAUUAUUAAUAACUCCAUCGAUUAGAAUCUCGUCCAGAUUCAAGAAACAUGGGGCGUUUAUUCACUGAAGGCUUUGAAAAAUACUAGAAUGUCUGGAAUAAAUUGGAAUUUAAAGAAAGUGAAAUUAAUUCUAUUAAUAAAUUGUAAAACAUUUGAUUGAUAAGAGAUCUG